rnacentral:tRNA from 1 species
AUUUAUAUAGUAUAAAUUAAUUAUUAUUGAUUUCCAAUCAAAGGAUCUAUUAAAAUAAUAGUAUAAAUA